UACGUAGGGGGCAAGCGUUGUCCGGAAUUAUUGGGCGUAAAGAGCGCGUAGGCGGUCCGAUAAGUCGGCUGUGAAAGUCAGGGGCUCAACCCUUGAAAGCCGGCCGAUACUGUCGGACUAGAGUCCGGAAGAGGCAAGUGGAAUUCCCGGUGUAGCGGUGAAAUGCGCAGAUAUCGGGAGGAACACCAAUGGCGAAGGCGGAUCUCUGGGCCGUAACUGACGCUGAGGAGCGAAAGCAUGGGGAGCGAACAGG
rnacentral:rRNA from 1 species